rnacentral:tRNA from 1 species
GGAUUUGUGCCUGAAAGUUAAGGCUCACCUUGAUAGGGUGAUAUAUAGGAAAUCAAACCUCCUCAAAUCUU